rnacentral:rRNA from 1 species
GAUGAACGCUGGCGGCGUGCCUAAUACAUGCAAGUCGAACGAAGGGUUUCGGUAGUAAUACUGGGAUCUCUUAGUGGCGAACGGGUGAGUAACGCGUUGGUGACCUGCCCCGAAGCGGGGGAUAACAGAUCGAAAGGUCUGCUAAUACCCCAUAUUGUCAUCGUGCUCAGAAAGCGAUGACCAAAGGAGUAAUCCGCUUUGGGAGGGGCCUGCGUCCCAUCAGCUAGUUGGUAGGGUAAUGGCCUACCAAGGCUUCGACGGGUAAGGGGUCUGAGAGGAUGACCCCUCACAAUGGAACUGAAACACGGUCCAUACACCUACGGGUGGCAGCAGUAGGGAAUAUUGCACAAUGGGCGAAAGCCUGAUGCAGCAACGCCGCGUGUACGAUGAAGGUCUUCGGAUCGUAAAGUACUUUUCAGGGAGAUGAGAAAGGACAGUAUCCCUGGAAUAAGUCUCGGCUAACUACGUGCCAGCAGCCGCCGUAAGAC